AUUGAACGCUGGCGGCAGGCCUAACACAUGCAAGUCGAACGGUAACAGGAAGAAGCUUGCUUCUUUGCUGACGAGUGGCGGACGGGUGAGUAAUGUCUGGGAAACUGCCUGAUGGAGGGGGAUAACUACUGGAAACGGUAGCUAAUACCGCAUAACGUCGCAAGACCAAAGAGGGGGACCUUCGGGCCUCUUGCCAUCGGCUGUGCCCAGAUGGGAUUAGCUAGUAGGUGGGGUAACGGCUCACCUAGGCGACGAUCCCUAGCUGGUCUGAGAGGAUGACCAGCCACACUGGAACUGAGACACGGUCCAGACUCCUACGGGAGGCAGCAGUGGGGAAUAUUGGACAAUGGGCGCAAGCCUGAUGCAGCCAUGCCGCGUGUAUGAAGAAGGCCUUCGGGUUGUAAAGUACUUUCAGCGGGGAGGAAGGGAAUAAAGUUAAUACCUUUGCUCAUUGACGUUACCCACAGAAGAAGCACCGGCUAACUCCGUG
rnacentral:rRNA from 1 species